GAUGAACGCUGGCGGCGUGCCUAAUACAUGCAAGUCGAGCGAACAGACGAGGAGCUUGCUCCUCUGACGUUAGCGGCGGACGGGUGAGUAACACGUGGAUAACCUACCUAUAAGACUGGGAUAACUUCGGGAAACCGGAGCUAAUACCGGAUAAUAUAUUGAACCGCAUGGUUCAAUAGUGAAAGACGGUUUUGCUGUCACUUAUAGAUGGAUCCGCGCCGCAUUAGCUAGUUGGUAAGGUAACGGCUUACCAAGGCAACGAUGCGUAGCCGACCUGAGAGGGUGAUCGGCCACACUGGAACUGAGACACGGUCCAGACUCCUACGGGAGGCAGCAGUAGGGAAUCUUCCGCAAUGGGCGAAAGCCUGACGGAGCAACGCCGCGUGAGUGAUGAAGGUGUUCGGAUCGUAAAACUCUGUUAUUAGGGAAGAACAAAUGUGUAAGUACCUAUGCACGUCUUGACGGUACCUAAUCAGAAAGCCACGGCUAACUACGUG
rnacentral:rRNA from 1 species